UUGAGUCGAGGUAGCGUGAAGGGCGGUACUUUAGUUUUGGUGGUAAAGAGCAACAGUUCAGUUUUACUUUGGUUAACUCCUAGUCCACAACUCGUGGCCCAGUUGCUAACUUUCUUAAAGCUGACUCCGUGAUUUCACUAAUCACAGAGGUGUACUUUCCUGACACCAAUAGCACCAAAUCAUCCGCGUAGGCUACCGCCUUCACUCCACAUCUCUCUAAUUUAACGAGAAUUGUAUCCAUGACCAGAAGCUAUAGAAGAGGCGAAAGGACACCAACCUGGGGUGUUCUCCUACUCACGUGUUUUGUUGCGAUUGUAUUGCCUAGAGUGGCUCGAAUCUUCCUACCACUGAACAUGGAAAAAAUCCAUUCUCGAAUGAAGUCUUCUACCCCGAACUUUACGAGCGAUUCUUCUAUGGAUUCUGUAAGGACGUUGUUUAAAGCACCUUAUAUGUCUAGGAAGGUGACAAGAGUAAAUUCUUUAUAAUGGAUUGUUUGUUCUCCGUAGAUUUACCCUUAAGAUAAGCACGCUGAGAGCUUUCGAGAGGUCGUCCAACUAGGAUUUCUCUAAUAUGGUAAUCAAGAAUGUGCUCCAAGAUUUUAAGCACAAAAGAUGUUAAGUUUAUUGGUCUGAAAUCCUUCAGCGAAAACCACGGAGCAGGUGGCGUGCAAAAGUGCAAAGUGACAUCACCCAACUUGGAGCGCGAAACUGGAGACAUCUAACUAGGGAUACAAAUUGUGUCAAACGGUUAGAAAGAUCUCUCACUUCAAGAGAUCGAUAUUAAUUAAAUUGUGCUGGUUGUUCAGUUCUUCCCUGCUUCAAAUAAGUUUAUUUCUAAACCGUUAUUGAUGACUGCAAGCAAUAUAAAUAAAUAAAUAUUAUAAUAUCCAUUUUAUUUCAGAGAAACAUAAGGGAUUACUUCUUAAAAACAAAUUGUAUCCGAUGUUUACAUCACUAAUUUAAAAUUAAUGAAAAAAAAAACCUUCUUUUUGUUUCAUUUAAUUAUGCAUAAUUUUUGUUUUUUUUUUUUUUU